rnacentral:rRNA from 1 species
UACGGAGGAUGCGAGCGUUAUCCGGAUUUAUUGGGUUUAAAGGGUACGUAGGCGGACUGUCAAGUCAGCGGUAAAAUUGAGAGGCUCAACCUCUUCCCGCCGUUGAAACUGGUGGUCUUGAGUGGAUGAGAAGUACGCGGAAUGCGUGGUGUAGCGGUGAAAUGCAUAGAUAUCACGCAGAACUCCGAUUGCGAAGGCAGCGUACCGGCAUCCAACUGACGCUGAGGCACGAAAGCGUGGGGAUCAAACAGG